rnacentral:tRNA from 1 species
GCGCUCUUAGCUCAGUUGGAUAGAGCAACGACCUUCUAAGUCGUGGGCCGCAGGUUCGAAUCCUGCAGGGCGCGCCA